rnacentral:rRNA from 1 species
CCUACGGGAGGCAGCAGUGGGGAAUUUUGCGCAAUGGGCGAAAGCCUGACGCAGCAACGCCGCGUGAGUGAUGAAGGCUUUCGGGUCGUAAAGCUCUGUCAGAGGGGAAGAAACACCCAGGGGUUAAUAUUCUCUGGGCUUGACGGUACCCUCAAAGGAAGCACCGGCUAACUCCGUGCCAGCAGCCGCGGUAA